AUUGAACGCUGGCGGCAUGCCUUACACAUGCAAGUCGAACGGCAGCGGGGGAGGAGCUUGCUUUUCCUGCCGGCGAGUGGCGAACGGGUGAGGGAUACAUCGGAACGUGCCCUGUAGAGGGGGAUAACUAGUCGUAAGGUUAGCGAAUACCGCAUACGACCUGAGGUUGAGAGGGGGGCAGCGGAAGGCGUCAUGCUAUAGGAGCGUGCGGUGUCUGAUUAGCUAGUUGGUGGGGUAAAGGCCUACCAAGGCGACGAUCAGUAGCUGGUCUGAGAGGGCGAUCGGCCACACUGGGACUGAGACACGGCCCAGACUCCUACGGGAGGCAGCAGUGGGGAAUUUUGGACAAUGGGCGAAAGCCUGAUCCAGCAAUGCCGCGUGUGUGAAGAAGGCCUUCGGGUUGUAAAGCACUUUUGUCCGGAAAGAAAUGGCUCUGGUUAAUACCUGGGGUCGAUGACGGUACCGGAAGAAUAAGGACCGGCUAACUACGUACCAGCAGCCGCCGUAA
rnacentral:rRNA from 1 species